rnacentral:rRNA from 1 species
GGGUUGUGAGGUUAAGCGACUAAGCGUACACGGUGGAUGCCCUGGCAGUCAGAGGCGAUGAAGGACGUGCUAAUCUGCGAUAAGCGUCGGUAAGGUGAUAUGAACCGUUAUAACCGGCGAUUUCCGAAUGGGGAAACCCAGUGUGUUUCGACACACUAUCAUUAACUGAAUCCAUAGGUUAAUGAGGCGAACCGGGGGAACUGAAACAUCUAAGUACCCCGAGGAAAAGAAAUCAACCGAGAUUCCCCCAGUAGCGGCGAGCGAACGGGGAGCAGCCCAGAGCCUGAAUCAGUAUGUGUGUUAGUGGAAGCGUCUGGAAAGGCGCGCGAUACAGGGUGACAGCCCCGUACACAAAAAUGCACAUAUUGUGAGCUCGAUGAGUAGGGCGGGACACGUGGUAUCCUGUCUGAAUAUGGGGGGACCAUCCUCCAAGGCUAAAUACUCCUGACUGACCGAUAGUGAACCAGUACCGUGAGGGAAAGGCGAAAAGAACCCCGGCGAGGGGAGUGAAAAAGAACCUGAAACCGUGUACGUACAAGCAGUGGGAGCACGCUUAGGCGUGUGACUGCGUACCUUUUGUAUAAUGGGUCAGCGACUUAUAUUCUGUAGCAAGGUUAACCGAAUAGGGGAGCCGAAGGGAAACCGAGUCUUAACUGGGCGUUAAGUUGCAGGGUAUAGACCCGAAACCCGGUGAUCUAGCCAUGGGCAGGUUGAAGGUUGGGUAACACUAACUGGAGGACCGAACCGACUAAUGUUGAAAAAUUAGCGGAUGACUUGUGGCUGGGGGUGAAAGGCCAAUCAAACCGGGAGAUAGCUGGUUCUCCCCGAAAGCUAUUUAGGUAGCGCCUCGUGAAUUCAUCUCCGGGGGUAGAGCACUGUUUCGGCAAGGGGGUCAUCCCGACUUACCAACCCGAUGCAAACUGCGAAUACCGGAGAAUGUUAUCACGGGAGACACACGGCGGGUGCUAACGUCCGUCGUGAAGAGGGAAACAACCCAGACCGCCAGCUAAGGUCCCAAAGUCAUGGUUAAGUGGGAAACGAUGUGGGAAGGCCCAGACAGCCAGGAUGUUGGCUUAGAAGCAGCCAUCAUUUAAAGAAAGCGUAAUAGCUCACUGGUCGAGUCGGCCUGCGCGGAAGAUGUAACGGGGCUAAACCAUGCACCGAAGCUGCGGCAGCGACACUAUGUGUUGUUGGGUAGGGGAGCGUUCUGUAAGCCUGUGAAGGUGUGCUGUGAGGCAUGCUGGAGGUAUCAGAAGUGCGAAUGCUGACAUAAGUAACGAUAAAGCGGGUGAAAAGCCCGCUCGCCGGAAGACCAAGGGUUCCUGUCCAACGUUAAUCGGGGCAGGGUGAGUCGACCCCUAAGGCGAGGCCGAAAGGCGUAGUCGAUGGGAAACAGGUUAAUAUUCCUGUACUUGGUGUUACUGCGAAGGGGGGACGGAGAAGGCUAUGUUGGCCGGGCGACGGUUGUCCCGGUUUAAGCGUGUAGGCUGGUUUUCCAGGCAAAUCCGGAAAAUCAAGGCUGAGGCGUGAUGACGAGGCACUACGGUGCUGAAGCAACAAAUGCCCUGCUUCCAGGAAAAGCCUCUAAGCAUCAGGUAACAUCAAAUCGUACCCCAAACCGACACAGGUGGUCAGGUAGAGAAUACCAAGGCGCUUGAGAGAACUCGGGUGAAGGAACUAGGCAAAAUGGUGCCGUAACUUCGGGAGAAGGCACGCUGAUAUGUAGGUGAAGUCCCUCGCGGAUGGAGCUGAAAUCAGUCGAAGAUACCAGCUGGCUGCAACUGUUUAUUAAAAACACAGCACUGUGCAAACACGAAAGUGGACGUAUACGGUGUGACGCCUGCCCGGUGCCGGAAGGUUAAUUGAUGGGGUUAGCCGCAAGGCGAAGCUCUUGAUCGAAGCCCCGGUAAACGGCGGCCGUAACUAUAACGGUCCUAAGGUAGCGAAAUUCCUUGUCGGGUAAGUUCCGACCUGCACGAAUGGCGUAAUGAUGGCCAGGCUGUCUCCACCCGAGACUCAGUGAAAUUGAACUCGCUGUGAAGAUGCAGUGUACCCGCGGCAAGACGGAAAGACCCCGUGAACCUUUACUAUAGCUUGACACUGAACAUUGAGCCUUGAUGUGUAGGAUAGGUGGGAGGCUUAGAAGUGUGGACGCCAGUCUGCAUGGAGCCGACCUUGAAAUACCACCCUUUAAUGUUUGAUGUUCUAACGUUGACCCGUAAUCCGGGUUGCGGACAGUGUCUGGUGGGUAGUUUGACUGGGGCGGUCUCCUCCUACAGAGUAACGGUGGAGCACGAAGGUUGGCUAAUCCUGGUCGGACAUCAGGAGGUUAGUGCAAUGGCAUAAGCCAGCUUGACUGCGAGCGUGACGGCGCGAGCAGGUGCGAAAGCAGGUCAUAGUGAUCCGGUGGUUCUGAAUGGAAGGGCCAUCGCUCAACGGAUAAAAGGUACUCCGGGGAUAACAGGCUGAUACCGCCCAAGAGUUCAUAUCGACGGCGGUGUUUGGCACCUCGAUGUCGGCUCAUCACAUCCUGGGGCUGAAGUAGGUCCCAAGGGUAUGGCUGUUCGCCAUUUAAAGUGGUACGCGAGCUGGGUUUAGAACGUCGUGAGACAGUUCGGUCCCUAUCUGCCGUGGGCGCUGGAGAACUGAGGGGGGCUGCUCCUAGUACGAGAGGACCGGAGUGGACGCAUCACUGGUGUUCGGGUUGUCAUGCCAAUGGCACUGCCCGGUAGCUAAAUGCGGAAGAGAUAAGUGCUGAAAGCAUCUAAGCACGAAACUUGCCCCGAGAUGAGUUCUCCCUGACUCCUUGAGAGUCCUGAAGGAACGUUGAAGACGACGACGUUGAUAGGCCGGGUGUGUAAGCGCAGCGAUGCGUUGAGCUAACCGGUACUAAUGAACCGUGAGGCUUAACCUUACAACGCCGAAGGUGUUU